CACUCUCUUUUGGCCGGCCAAAGCAAAGAACAAAGAGAAAAAGAGAAGAACAAACCCUAGGAAGGAAAAAUUCAAGAGAAAUUGAUGGAUUUUAAGGAAUCAAGCAAGUAAAGGUAAGAUUUUUUAAUUUUAGCUUGUGAUCUACCUUUCCCAUGCAUUCUUUUUCAUUUUUCAUGGCUGAAAUUCAAUUUUUCAAGAGGGAACCUUUGCUGUCCAAAUCUAGAGAGAGAAGUUUUGGUGAUGAAUUUUGCUAGAUUUCAUAAUAUCCUAGUGUUUUUAAUCAUUUUAUGAUGUUUGGAAGGAAAAACAAGCAAGAAAAUCACAUGUUCUUCAACCACCCUCAUUUGGCCGAAUUUUCUAUAGGGGAUGUUGAUGAUGGAUUUGGUUGUAUUGCAUGUUAUUUAGCUAGGAAUUGAUGAAUUAUGGGGUUGGAUAUCGAAACCGGUUAUUGAAAAAUAUAGUUCCUUUAGAAAAUGGCUUGAUGAAAAAUGAGAAAAUCAUAAUAAAUGGACUUGGAUUUGAUUCCUAAUGAUAUAUAUAUGGAUUUACGAGAUUAUGUAGACAUUGAUUAGUAUGUUAGUUCGGAAUCGGAAUGAAUUUUGGAAAAUGGUGAAGUUAGUCAAAAAUCAAGUUCAUUGAAAUGCUUUGGUGUAUUAGAUCAUUGGUAGUGGAAUGAGUAUAUUUGGAGUUGAAUCGGAUGUUUUGGCUAAAUCAAUCAUGUAUAGUUCGAAUUAGGCCGAAUACAAAUUCAUUCUGAUCACAAUUGAACCUACAUAGAAUACCGUCUUUAAGUUAUUAUUCGGACAAUUCUCAUUCAAUGUCAUGCAUUCAUAUAGAGCCUGAAAUAGUUUUAUAACAGUUUGGCACAAAUAUAUUGAAUUACAUGUCGUGCAUUAUUUAUAGGUGGUGACCCCUUUGAUAAGGGUAAAGAUAUUGUGCCCGAGGACCAAGAAUAGGAGUACUCCAAACUCCUGCUAUUGUGAGUAAUCAGACUUUCAUCUUAACUAUCUAAAGUAGUUUAUACUCGUUUUUAUGUUUUAAGGAAAAAUAAAUUUAAAUUGCAAACUAUUAUUUUUUAUAAUUGAAGUGUUGAUUAAACGAAAUGAGAUUUGUAACUUGUUUUGAAAUUGAAUACUGGUUUUGGAAAUUGAGUAAAUGGAGACUGUAUACUUGUGUUAUAUAUAUGUUUUGACAUAUGGUUUGAAUUGAUGGCUUAUGACAAUGUGAUGGCAAUCAUGGCUGGAUUUGUGUUUAUGUGGAAUAUAUGAACUGUUUUGCUUUGCCUUGACAGGCUAGUAAUAUUAUAUUAGCCAUGUCAUGCUGUCAAAAAUUUUAUUGAAUUGGUGGAUUAUUUGAUUAGCUUACUGCAAUGGGCGGGUUUCCAUGGACCAGCCUAUUAGAGGGGUACGGUAAACCCCGUUAUAUUUUACCUUAGUAUGAGAGGCGCGGAGGGUAUCUCCUAAAAUAAAGUUAGAGUUCACCUCACGCCGAACCAUCACGUGAGGGUGAAACUUAGACAAUGCCAAGGAACGGUUGUACUUUUAAAUGUAAAAAAUGAGUUUUAUACUUAUAUGUUAUUUUAACAGCCUUGGCGGACUUGGUUGGAUGCCCAACGCAAGGUGUCACCGAGUGUAAGUUUUUGGCACGAGCCAAGUUUUAAGAGAAUCAUAAGCCUUGUUUAUUUUUAUGAAAUGAAAUUGAUUUAUAUGAAAUGAAAGGAGAUUCGAUGUUAUGAAUCAUAUUAUGACGAGAUAUUUUAAAUUGUCUCCAUUUACUCGAUUUUAGAUAUUUUAGAUAAAAUUUGCUUACUCACUAAGUUUAUAAAAACUCACCCCUUCUUUUCACCCAUUUCAGGCUCAAGGCAGUCUGUAGACUGCUGAUUAUGUCGAGGGUUUGCUUUUGGGUUUGCACCCAUAGAAAUUGCAAGUCUAUAGUCUUGUACAUAUAUGUUUAUUUUGGAGGCCCACAUGUCAUUGUAGAAUAUUUUGUAUACCUGGCUGCGUGUGCCACUGUAUGUAUGAAUUUAUUUUGCUUUUACGCUAUAAAAAUUACGCAGAGUUUUAUAAAUAUUGUUUUAUAAGAAAAUGGAAUAUUUUUAUUUAAUAUUUUUAUUUAGUUUGAUUAGCCAAAAUUUUAUUUUAAAUGGAUGAUUUAGAUUACUAAAAUUAUUUUAGAUAAGAAAUGCAUAUUUUUCGAUAGUAUGCUGUAUUUUUACCAAGUUUCAAAAUUUUUGAGUAAAAAAGACCAAAAUACCCCUGUGUGGUAGAAAUUAUUUUUUUGUUUAUUUUGAUUUAAGAAUAGUUUAUAUUCCCUUAAAACAUGAUAUUUAGUAACUAUUGCUCACAGGGGAGAUGUAAAAUUGAUGCGAGAGCCUUGCGAGGUUUAGGUUGACAGUUCGGGUAAUGAAUGUCUAUCGAGACAUCGCGACGGAUGUCACGGGCUCGAAGGGAGUACCGGGUCAUGACAAAAUAUUUAAUUAUAAAUGGAGAUUUAUACCCAACAUAUAUUGCUAACCUCCUUUGAGGACCCAUCUUUAGAUAUGAAAUAUUUGGUUCCUGACCGUAAACCAAUCGUAUAAGGAGGAAUUUAUAAUAACUCAUUUGGCUUGAUGCAUACAAUGCUGCUACAUCCAAAAUGGCGUGCCCCCAAAUAGACAUUGGGAGUUUAAAUUUCAUAAGUAAUAGCCUUGCAAUUAGUUGGAAAUGUUAAAUAAAUGAUUCUACUAGAUUGUUUUGUUUAUGAACAUAAGUAACAAGCUGUUCAAUAGUUAUUCCAACUAAUAUAUAAUAUUCAUUAAAGCUUAAGAUGUAAAUUCACCAACAUUGUAAAGACAAAUAGUCUUGAUUACAUAACUUGGAAAAUGUAAUUGCAAAUGAAUGAUUGCAAAUGCCAAAUUACAAGCUGAUAAUAAGCAGAUAUAUGACA
rnacentral:lncRNA from 1 species